rnacentral:rRNA from 1 species
GACGAACGCUGGCGGCGUGCUUAACACAUGCAAGUCGAACGGAAAGGCCCUGCUUUUGUGGGGUGCUCGAGUGGCGAACGGGUGAGUAACACGUGAGUAACCUGCCCUUGACUUUGGGAUAACUUUAGGAAACUGGGGCUAAUACCGGAUAGGAGCUCCUGCUGCAUGGUGGGGGUUGGAAAGUUUCGGCGGUUGGGGAUGGACUCGCGGCUUAUCAGCUUGUUGGUGGGGUAGUGGCUUACCAAGGCUUUGACGGGUAGCCGGCCUGAGAGGGUGACCGGCCACAUUGGGAGUGAGAUACGGCCCAGACUCCUACGGGAGGCAGCAGUGGGGAAUAUUGCACAAUGAGCGGAAGCCUGAUGCAGCAACGCCGCGUGCGGGAUGACGGCCUUCGGGUUGUAAACCGCUUUCGCCUGUGACGAAGCGUGAGUGACGGUAAUGGGUAAAGAAGCACCGGCUAACUACGU